rnacentral:rRNA from 1 species
GACGAACGCUGGCGGCGUGCUUAACACAUGCAAGUCGAACGGUAAGGCCCUUCGGGGUACACGAGUGGCGAACGGGUGAGUAACACGUGGGUGAUCUGCCCUGCACUUCGGGAUAAGCCUGGGAAACUGGGUCUAAUACCGGAUAGGACCACUGCCUGCAUGGGUGGUGGUGGAAAGCUUUUGCGGUGUGGGAUGGGCCCGCGGCCUAUCAGCUUGUUGGUGGGGUGAUGGCCUACCACGGCGACGACGGGUAGCCGGCCGGGGAGGGUGACCGGCCACACUGGGACUGGGAUACGGCCCAGACUCAUACGGGAGGCAGCAGUGGGGAAUAUUGCACAAUGGGCGCAAGCCUGAUGCAGCGACGCCGCGUGAGGGAUGACGGCCUUCGGGUUGUAAACCUCUUUCAGCACAGACGAAGCGCAAGUGACGGUAUGUGCAGAAGAAGGACCGGCCAACUACGUGCCAGCCGCCGCCGUAA